AGUGAACGCUGGCGGUAGGCCUAACACAUGCAAGUCGAACGGCAGCACAGUAAGAGCUUGCUCUUACGGGUGGCGAGUGGCGGACGGGUGAGGAAUACAUCGGAAUCUACUUUUUCGUGGGGGAUAACGUAGGGAAACUUACGCUAAUACCGCAUACGACCUACGGGUGAAAGCAGGGGAUCUUCGGACCUUGCGCGAUUGAAUGAGCCGAUGUCGGAUUAGCUAGUUGGCGGGGUAAAGGCCCACCAAGGCGACGAUCCGUAGCUGGUCUGAGAGGAUGAUCAGCCACACUGGAACUGAGACACGGUCCAGACUCCUACGGGAGGCAGCAGAGGGGAAUAUUGGACAAAGGGCGCAAGCCUGAUCCAGCCAUACCGCGUGGGUGAAGAAGGCCUUCGGGUUGUAAAGCCCUUUUGUUGGGAAAGAAAAGCAGCAGGUUAAUACCCCGCUGUUCUGACGGUACCCAAAGAAUAAGCACCGGCUAACUUCGUG
rnacentral:rRNA from 1 species